UACGAAGGGGGCUAGCGUUGCUCGGAAUCACUGGGCGUAAAGCGCACGUAGGCGGUCUCUUAAGUCGGUGGUGAAAUCCUGGAGCUCAACUCCAGAACUGCCUUCGAUACUGAGAGUCUCGAGUCCGGGAGAGGUGAGUGGAACUGCGAGUGUAGAGGUGAAAUUCGUAGAUAUUCGCAAGAACACCAGUGGCGAAGGCGACUCACUGGACCGGUACUGACGCUGAGGUGCGAAAGCGUGGGGAGCAAACAGG
rnacentral:rRNA from 1 species